GACAGGUUAAAAGAGUGUAAAAAAUCUUUGUUUGAGUCAAACCUGGCUUUCCAGACUGCUGGCUUGCUGCGGGAGCUUGUCAAUCCUUGUUUCAGGGUCAAGGGCUGAAUGCUGACUUCUUUCCGUUUUUUCACCUCCUCAUUUCAGACAUGCUGCCACUGCACUGCUCUGUUUUCUUCAGAGCAAAUUGAUUACCAUCUGAAAUUAUCUGCUUUCUGUCUCUUCUCAUUAGGCUCUCAUGGUAGGGACUUUGCUCAUCUUGUCCAGCAAGUGUCUCCAUCACUUAAAACAGUGUCUGGCACAUAAAAAGUGCUCAAUAAGGACAGGGCAGCUGGAAGAAAAUGAAGAGCCUGCAAAGUAACAAGAAGCAAACGCUCAGGAAAGGGGCUCCCAGGACCCCAGCAGGCAUUUAUAACUGCUCAACUGGAGACGACACUCGGAAAUGCAGACCUGUGCUCUCUAACUGGUACACAGUGUGGCCUGAAUGGGCCAGAUCCCCUCUGCCAGACUGCGCAUCCUCCAACUCCCACGCCCGCCUGGGGCCAGACUCAGGGCUUCACCACAUGCCCCA